GAAACAUUUACCUUCCAAGACACAUUAUGAGUUAUCAAUUACACAUAAAGACACAUUGGGUCAAGAGAGCACUUUCUUAUGCUCAUUUGUCUGAAUUGCCCUUCAACUAGAGAGAAGGUGUCGGUAACAUUUGUCAAAAUUCUUUUCAAUAUUCUCUAUAAUUAAUUCCAUUCAACUUUCACCUUUUGGUUUCAUAUUUCUUAAUUCCCUAAACUCAAUCUUGCCUCAAUCUAUCGUCAUCUUCAUCUCUCAUCUUUCGUAUCCUUCUAAAGCUUCUUCUUCUUCACAAAAUUUGUAGAUUUUUUUAUAAUUCUAAAUCACUAAUUUCUGUUUGUCGCUUUAUCUUUCACUACUUACUGUUUUAAAUCUGGAAAUCAUGGAAACCUCAGAUUGAGGCUAAGGAAAAUCUAUUAUGAAAUCUCAGAUUGGGAAAUUCCAGAUCUUUACCGAAUAUAUCCAAGGUUUGCUUUUAACUGAACUAUGAGAAUUUCAUAUACAUAUUUUUUUCCCUCUUUCAUACUUGUUUCUAAUUGAUAUACAAGAAGAUAAGAAAUAGAUAAAAAUUUGAUUUUCUUCUUAAGCAUACAUAGAAGCCUAUGUCUCUCCUGCAACAUUUGAUUCACAUGUCGCCCAUGCUUUUCAUGUCCAACAAUUUCCUUGUCCACAAAUGGGCUAUCCAUAAAGCUGUCGUCCAUGAAUUUCAUGUCCACCAAGCUCGUAUCCAUCCAUAUCCUCCCCAUCGUUCUCUUACCCACCAAUCUCAUAUCUGCAUCUCUCUUGUAUAUCAAUUUUUGGAUAUGACUUAACUAUGUGUGUGAGGUAACUAUUAUCUAAACGGUGGUAUAUUUUGAGUUAAGUGUGACUUCUCCCUGUUUGUAAGCAAAUAAGGGUUUGGAAGAUAGUCUCUUGUUGUUGCAUCUGUUGCUAAUGUUGUUCAGACAUGAACUAUGGAGUUCACUUCCAAGUUAAGUUGGUAGCUUCCAUGUUUGGUAUCUAAUUGGCACUAUACAAAAGUCUGGGACAGUUCACAAUA